GGGUUGUGAGGUUAAGCGACUAAGCGUACACGGUGGAUGCCCUGGCAGUCAGAGGCGAUGAAGGGCGUGCUAAUCUGCGAUAAGCGCCGGUAAGGUGAUAUGAACCGUUAUAACCGGCGAUACCCGAAUGGGGAAACCCAGUGUGAUUCGUCACACUAUCAUUAACUGAAUCCAUAGGUUAAUGAGGCGAACCGGGGGAACUGAAACAUCUAAGUACCCCGAGGAAAAGAAAUCAACCGAGAUUCCCCCAGUAGCGGCGAGCGAACGGGGAGGAGCCCAGAGCCUGAAUCAGCAUGUGUGUUAGUGGAAGCGUCUGGAAAGGCGCGCGAUACAGGGUGACAGCCCCGUACACAAAAGCGCAUGUGCUGUGAGCUCGAUGAGUAGGGCGGGACACGUGGUAUCCUGUCUGAAUAUGGGGGGACCAUCCUCCAAGGCUAAAUACUCCUGACUGACCGAUAGUGAACCAGUACCGUGAGGGAAAGGCGAAAAGAACCCCGGCGAGGGGAGUGAAAAAGAACCUGAAACCGUGUACGUACAAGCAGUGGGAGCNNNNNNNNNNNNNNNNNNNNNNNNNNNNNNNNNNNNNNNNNNNNNNNNNNNNGGCGUUAAGUUGCAGGGUAUAGACCCGAAACCCGGUGAUCUAGCCAUGGGCAGGUUGAAGGUUGGGUAACACUAACUGGAGGACCGAACCGACUAAUGUUGAAAAAUUAGCGGAUGACCUGUGGCUGGGGGUGAAAGGCCAAUCAAACCGGGAGAUAGCUGGUUCUCCCCGAAAGCUAUUUAGGUAGCGCCUCGUGAAUUCAUCUCCGGGGGUAGAGCACUGUUUCGGCUAGGGGGCCAUCCCGGCUUACCAACCCGAUGCAAACUGCGAAUACCGGAGAAUGUUAUCACGGGAGACACACGGCGGGUGCUAACGUCCGUCGUGAAGAGGGAAACAACCCAGACCGCCAGCUAAGGUCCCAAAGUCAUGGUUAAGUGGGAAACGAUGUGGGAAGGCCCAGACAGCCAGGAUGUUGGCUUAGAAGCAGCCAUCAUUUAAAGAAAGCGUAAUAGCUCACUGGUCGAGUCGGCCUGCGCGGAAGAUGUAACGGGGCUAAACCAUGCACCGAAGCUGCGGCAGCGACGCUUAUGCGUUGUUGGGUAGGGGAGCGUUCUGUAAGCCUGCGAAGGUGGCCUGUGAGGGUUGCUGGAGGUAUCAGAAGUGCGAAUGCUGACAUAAGUAACGAUAAAGCGGGUGAAAAGCCCGCUCGCCGGAAGACCAAGGGUUCCUGUCCAACGUUAAUCGGGGCAGGGUGAGUCGACCCCUAAGGCGAGGCCGAAAGGCGUAGUCGAUGGGAAACGGGUUAAUAUUCCCGUACUUGGUGUUACUGCGAAGGGGGGACGGAGAAGGCUAUGUUGGCCGGGCGACGGUUGUCCCGGUUUAAGCGUGUAGGUGUGUGUUCCAGGUAAAUCCGGUUCACUUUAACACUGAGGCGUGACGACGAGGCACUACGGUGCUGAAGCAACAAAUGCCCUGCUUCCAGGAAAAGCCUCUAAGCAUCAGGUAACAUCAAAUCGUACCCCAAACCGACACAGGUGGUCAGGUAGAGAAUACCAAGGCGCUUGAGAGAACUCGGGUGAAGGAACUAGGCAAAAUGGUGCCGUAACUUCGGGAGAAGGCACGCUGACACGUAGGUGAAGUGAUUUACUCAUGGAGCUGAAGUCAGUCGAAGAUACCAGCUGGCUGCAACUGUUUAUUAAAAACACAGCACUGUGCAAACACGAAAGUGGACGUAUACGGUGUGACGCCUGCCCGGUGCCGGAAGGUUAAUUGAUGGGGUCAGCGCAAGCGAAGCUCCUGAUCGAAGCCCCGGUAAACGGCGGCCGUAACUAUAACGGUCCUAAGGUAGCGAAAUUCCUUGUCGGGUAAGUUCCGACCUGCACGAAUGGCGUAAUGAUGGCCAGGCUGUCUCCACCCGAGACUCAGUGAAAUUGAACUCGCUGUGAAGAUGCAGUGUACCCGCGGCAAGACGGAAAGACCCCGUGAACCUUUACUAUAGCUUGACACUGAACAUUGAGCCUUGAUGUGUAGGAUAGGUGGGAGGCUUUGAAGUGUGGACGCCAGUCUGCAUGGAGCCGACCUUGAAAUACCACCCUUUAAUGUUUGAUGUUCUAACGUGGACCCGUUACCCGGGUUGCGGACAGUGUCUGGUGGGUAGUUUGACUGGGGCGGUCUCCUCCUAAAGAGUAACGGAGGAGCACGAAGGUUGGCUAAUCCUGGUCGGACAUCAGGAGGUUAGUGCAAUGGCAUAAGCCAGCUUGACUGCGAGCGUGACGGCGCGAGCAGGUGCGAAAGCAGGUCAUAGUGAUCCGGUGGUUCUGAAUGGAAGGGCCAUCGCUCAACGGAUAAAAGGUACUCCGGGGAUAACAGGCUGAUACCGCCCAAGAGUUCAUAUCGACGGCGGUGUUUGGCACCUCGAUGUCGGCUCAUCACAUCCUGGGGCUGAAGUAGGUCCCAAGGGUAUGGCUGUUCGCCAUUUAAAGUGGUACGCGAGCUGGGUUUAGAACGUCGUGAGACAGUUCGGUCCCUAUCUGCCGUGGGCGCUGGAGAACUGAGGGGGGCUGCUCCUAGUACGAGAGGACCGGAGUGGACGCAUCACUGGUGUUCGGGUUGUCAUGCCAAUGGCACUGCCCGGUAGCUAAAUGCGGAAGAGAUAAGUGCUGAAAGCAUCUAAGCACGAAACUUGCCCCGAGAUGAGUUCUCCCUGAGACUUAGAGUCUCCUGAAGGAACGUUGAAGACGACGACGUUGAUAGGCCGGGUGUGUAAGCGCAGCGAUGCGUUGAGCUAACCGGUACUAAUGAACCGUGAGGCUUAACCUUACAACGCCGAAG
rnacentral:rRNA from 1 species